rnacentral:rRNA from 1 species
CCUACGGGAGGCAGCAGUGAGGAAUAUUGGUCAAUGGGCGUAAGCCUGAACCAGCCAAGUCGCGUGAGGGAUGAAGGUUCUAUGGAUCGUAAACCUCUUUUAUAAGGGAAUAAAGUGCGGGACGUGUCCCUUUUUGUAUGUACCUUAUGAAUAAGGAUCGGCUAACUCCGUGCCAGCAGCCGCGGUAAUACGGAGGAUCCGAGCUUUAUCCGGAUUUAUUGGGUUUAAAGGGUGCGUAGGCGGCCUUUUAAGUAAGCGGUGAAAGUCUGUGGCUCAACCAUAGAAUUGCCGUUGAAACUGGGAGGCUUGAGUAUGUUUGAGGCAGGCGGAAGGCGUGGUGUAGCGGUGAAAUGCUUAGAUAUCACGCAGAACCCCGAUUGCGAAGGCAGCCUGCCAAGCCAUGACUGACGCUGAUGCACGAAAGCGUGGGGAUCAAACAGGAUUAGAUACCCCUGUAGUC